CAGGCGGCAAGGCUGGAGUAUUUUAUUACCCUUGUCUUUUGCGCACUUGUUGUUUCCUGGGCGGGUUCGCCCGCCUCCAGGACCACAUGAUAAACCUUUUUUAUGCAGUUGCAAUCAGCGUCAGUACAACAAAUGUAAAUCAUUUACAACUUUCAACAACGGAUCUCUUGGUUCUGGCAUCGAUGAAGAACGCAGCGAAAUGCGAUACGUAGUGUGAAUUGCAGAAUUCAGUGAAUCAUCGAAUCUUUGAACGCACAUUGCGCCCUUUGGUAUUCCAAAGGGCAUGCCUGUUCGAGCGUCAUUUGUACCCUCAAGCUUUGCUUGGUGUUGGGCGUUUUUUGUCUUUGGUUUUGUCCAAAGACUCGCCUUAAAACGAUUGGCAGCCGGCCUACUGGUUUCGCAGCGCAGCACAUUUUUGCGCUUGCAAUCAGCAAAAGAGGACGGCACUCCAUCAAGACUCUAUAUCACUUUUGACCUCGGAUCAGGGUAGGGGAUACCCGCUGAACUUAAGCAUAUCAAUAAGGCGG
rnacentral:rRNA from 1 species